GACAGAGGGGGCAAGCGUUGCUCGGAAUCACUGGGCGUAAAGGGCGCGUAGGCGGGAUGGCAAGUCGGUCGUGAAAUCCUUCGGCUCAACCGAAGAACGUCGGCCGAUACUGCCGUUCUUGAGGGAUGCAGAGGAGAUUGGAAUUCCCGGUGUAGUGGUGAAAUGCGUAGAGAUCGGGAGGAACACCCGUGGCGAAGGCGGCCACCUGGGCCGACCCUGACGCUGAGGCGCGAAGGCGUGGGGAGCGAACGGG
rnacentral:rRNA from 1 species